rnacentral:pre_miRNA from 1 species
UGGUACAGAUUAUUGUAUUUCGACUGUAUUCACGGCGUUUAAAAUAGGGGGAUUUACACUGUUUUUUAAAAAGGGGAAAUUGAAUCAAUUAACAUAAUAGACUCCU